rnacentral:rRNA from 1 species
GCAGCCGCCGCGGUAAUACAGAGGGUGCAAGCGUUAAUCGGAAUUACUGGGCGUAAAGCGCGCGUAGGUGGUUUGUUAAGUUGGAUGUGAAAUCCCCGGGCUCAACCUGGGAACUGCAUCCAAAACUGGCAAGCUAGAGUAUGGUAGAGGGUGGUGGAAUUUCCUGUGUAGCGGUGAAAUGCGUAGAUAUAGGAAGGAACACCAGUGGCGAAGGCGACCACCUGGACUGAUACUGACACUGAGGUGCGAAAGCGUGGGGAGCAAACAGGAUUAGAUACCCGUGUAGUCCCUGUCUCUUAUAC